rnacentral:rRNA from 1 species
AUAUCAAUAAGCGGAGGAAAAGAAACCAACAGGGAUUGCCUCAGUAACGGCGAGUGAAGCGGCAGCAGCUCAAAUUUGAAAUCUGGCCCCCCACGGGGGUCCGAGUUGUAAUUUGCAGAGGAUGCUUUUGGCGAGGCGCCUUCCAAGUGCCCUAGAAUGGGACGCCGUAGAGGGUGAGAGCCCCGUACGGUCGGACGCCGAGCCUCUGUAAAGCUCCCUCGACGAGUCGAGUAGUUUGGGAAUGCUGCUCUAAACGGGAGGUAAACCCCUUCUAAAGCUAAAUACCGGCCAGAGACCGAUAGCGCACAAGUAGAGUGAUCGAAAGAUGAAAAGCACUUUGAAAAGAGAGUUAAACAGCACGUGAAAUUGUUGAAAGGGAAGCGCUUGUGGCCAGACUUGCGCCCGGCGGCUCAGCCGUCCCUCGUGGGCGGUGCACUCCGCCGGGCUCAGGCCAGCAUCAGCUCGCUGCUGGGGAGAAAGGCGGUGGGAACGUGGCUCUUCGGAGUGUUAUAGCCCGCCGCCAUGCCCUCCAGCGGGCUGAGGUUCGCGCUCCGCAAGGAUGCUGGCGUAAUGGCCAUCAGCGACCCGUCUUGAAACACGGACCAAGGAGUCGUCCUAGCAUGCGAGUGUUCGGGUGCAAAACCCCUACGCGCAAUGAAAGUGAACGGAGGUGAGAGCUUCGGCGCAUCAUCGACCGAUCCUGAUGUUCUCGGAUGGAUUUGAGUAGGAGCAUGCUGGGCCGGACCCGAAAGAAGGUGAACUAUGCUUGGAUAGGGCAAAGCCAGAGGAAACUCUGGUGGAGGCUCGCAGCGGUUCUGACGUGCAAAUCGAUCGUCAAAUCUGAGCAUGGGGGCGAAAGACUAAUCGAACCUUCUAGUAGCUGGUUUCCGC